rnacentral:rRNA from 1 species
UACGGGGGGAGCAAGCGUUGUUCGGAUUUACUGGGCGUAAAGGGCGCGUAGGCGGUCAGCACAAGUCAGUUGUGAAAUCUCCGGGCUUAACUCGGAAAGGUCAACUGAUACUGUGCGACUAGAGUGCGGGAGGGGCAACUGGAAUUCUUGGUGUAGCGGUGAAAUGCGUAGAUAUCAAGAGGAACACCUGCGGCGAAGGCGGGUUGCUGGGCCGACACUGACGCUGAGGCGCGAAAGCCAGGGGAGCGAACGGG